rnacentral:rRNA from 1 species
GAGGGCGGGUAGCAAUACCCGACCGGCGAACGGGUGCGUAACACGUGAGCGACCGACCCUUAGGUGUGGGGGAUAGCCGGCCCAACGGCCGGGUAAUACCGCAUACGCUUCUUGGACCGCAUGGUCUGGGAAGGAAACCCUUCGGGGGCACUAGGACGGGCUCGCGGCCUAUCAGCUAGUUGGCGGGGUAAUGGCCCACCAAGGCGACGACGGGUAGCUGGUCUGAGAGGAUGGCCAGCCACAUUGGGACUGAGAAACGGCCCAGACUCCUACGGGAGGCAGCAGUGGGGAAUAUUGCGCAAUGGCCGAGAGGCUGACGCAGCGACGCCGCGUGUGGGAUGAAGCCCUUCGGGGUGUAAACCACUGUUGCCCGGGACGAACGGGAGGAUCAUCCUCCGUGACGGUACCGGGUGAGGAAGCACGGCUAACUCGUG